CGCGUAGGCGGCUUUGUAAGUUAGAGGUGAAAGCCCGGAGCUCAACUCCGGAACUGCCUUUAAGACUGCAUCGCUAGAAUUGUGGAGAGGUGAGUGGAAUUCCGAGUGUAGAGGUGAAAUUCGUAGAUAUUCGGAAGAACACCAGUGGCGAAGGCGACUCACUGGACACAUAUUGACGCUGAGGUGCGAAAGCGUGGGGAGCAAACA
rnacentral:rRNA from 1 species